UCUAUUUUCCAUUUUUCUGAUUUUAUUUUCCUUUUAUUAUUUUAAUUCCAUUUCAUUUCAAAAAUUCAUAUCUCUCUAAUUAUUGAUCCAAAAAUUAUGGGACCAAUUUCAUUCUUCUCCUUUUAAUUUUUACUUUCUAAAAAUGAUUUUUAAUAUUUUUUAUUUUAUCAUUUGAUAUUUUUUAGUAAUUUUCUCUUUUC
rnacentral:lncRNA from 1 species